rnacentral:rRNA from 1 species
AGUGAACGCUGGCGGUAGGCCUAACACAUGCAAGUCGAACGGCAGCACAGUAAGAGCUUGCUCUUACGGGUGGCGAGUGGCGGACGGGUGAGGAAUACAUCGGAAUCUACUUUUUCGUGGGGGAUAACGUAGGGAAACUUACGCUAAUACCGCAUACGACCUACGGGUGAAAGCAGGGGAUCUUCGGACCUUGCGCGAUUGAAUAAGCCGAUGUCGGAUUAGCUAGUUGGCGGGGUAAAGGCCCACCAAGGCGACGAUCCGUAGCUGGUCUGAGAGGAGGACUAGCCACACUGUAACUGAGACACGGUCCAGACUCUUACGGUAGGCAGCAGUGGGGAAUAUUGCACAAAGGGCGAAAGCCUGAUCCAGCCAUACCGCGUGGGUGAAGAAGGCCUUCGGGUUGUAAAGCCCUUUUGUUGUGAAAGAAAAGCAGCAGGUUAAUACCCCGCUGUUCUGACGGUACCCAAAGAAUAAGCACCGGCUAACUUCGUG